UUCUAUAAUGAGAAGGUUGAAGACAGUUUUUUUCUUCCCACGUCUCGGAGCAGUUAUGGUGCGUCCCUGUAUAUUACCUCCCAAGUCCCAACACCCCUGCUACCUCAUUUCUCCCAACCUUUUCUCUCAUUGCGUCUUUUUUAUUCUUCCCCAAGCUACAACCUAAUCAACAAUUUCCAUGUCUUUUCUAUCUCGGACGAAGACAUCAUGAUGGACUCCGAUUCUGCUUACACUAUACACUCCAGUCAAGAUUUCGCUGCCCCUCUUGUCUCCAGAAUAUUCAUGGCCGUUAAUCACGCCGCCGGGCUAAUUGAUGUCAGGGCUGUGUUAUUCAUAUAGAUUGUGAGCAGCUUUUGUUAAGCAGUGUGGAUCGAUUAUGUCUCUACUGUCUUGGUAAGGUGUUCGAUGAAGUACUUCUUUGGUUUUUGCAGUUGUGUAAGAUCUGAGGGACGAUUGUAACGAGUUGUGUGGACGGAAGGUAAGCCAACUUCUACAAGGAAUUUGUGAGCAGCAAAUCAGGUUUUGAUGUAGAAUGAUCUACCUGCACAAGUUAGUGAAGAAUGUGAUGGGCAUGUUCUUUGUCUUGAAGUGUUGUUAAG